UACGGAGGGUGCGAGCGUUGUCCGGAAUCACUGGGCGUAAAGGGCGCGUAGGCGGCGCGGGAAGUCAACGGUGAAAGUUCAGGGCUCAACUCUGAAUCGGCCGGUGAUACUCUCGUGCUCGAGCACUGUAGAGGCAGGUGGAAUUCCGGGUGUAGCGGUGGAAUGCGUAGAGAUCCGGAAGAACACCGGUGGCGAAGGCGGCCUGCUGGGCAGUAGCUGACGCUGAUGCGCGACAGCGUGGGGAGCAAACAGG
rnacentral:rRNA from 1 species